rnacentral:snoRNA from 1 species
CAAGCACUCUACAGGCUGUACUAUUGCACUGGCUCCUAGGAAGUGUCCUUUUAAAACUCAAACACGCUGGGUGUUUGUUUUGUAUCCUGCCAGAGGAAACAAUG